rnacentral:snoRNA from 1 species
GGAGGCAGAGUAAAGCUACCCCAUGUACACCCCAGCCUAGGCCCUGUGCCUGGUCUGUAUUGUGAAUGGGGGAACAUGG